UGUAGUCUUAAAAAAAAUUAGCUGUGCUCCAAAAAAAAAUAAACCCGUUAAGCUCCGAAAAAUAACACCCCGUAAGAUUCUCCCGUUUAACUCUGAAGAAGAAACUCGCGUAAGAAUUCUAAGCUCUCUUUUGAUCUUUUCUCUCUAGGUUUUCUUUUUUGGGUUAAUUGUGUGAGUGAUGGGAAUGAAAAAAAUGUAUCUUAUAUGGGAAGCAAUCCGCAAUUUUGAAUUGCGGAUUGCUUCUCGUGGGCCGAAGCUUAGGACUUGAGAAAAGUUUUAUAUGUGUUACGAGCAUCACCUGUUCGACGUUAUGCCUAGCUGAACUCUCCAUUCUUUUCUCAACGCUUAAAUUUUUUGCUAUCAAAAUGGUAAUCAAGCUUUACAGAAGCUCACUUUGUUCUCAUCAAAUCAUGCCCAAAUUCACUUCAUUUCGCUCAGUUUCUUCACUUGAACACUCAAUCAAAACAGCAGUUGAAACCAAGGCCUAUACCCAAAUCCCAGAGCUUCUAAUUCCCACUAAAAACCAAUCUUUACCGAACCCAAAUCCUUUUACAUUCUUAUCUGCAUACCCGUUGAGUCAAACAACAGAGAUAAUUGAUGAAAUUCUGCAAUCUUUUAUCACUAUAAGACCUCACUCUUGUCUCAAGCUUAGUUAUUCUUGUUUACUGUACUAUACUUUUCAAACUCCUAAUCCCUUACCUAUUGCUUUAUCAAUUCUACAGCGCAGUUUUCGAUCCGGGUGUCAGCCGGAACCUCAGUUUCGUCUUCUUUUAGCUUCGGCUUGGGUUCGUAAAAGACGGAAACUUUACACUGUUUUGAACAUUCUCCGAGAAUUGGAGUCUAUCGGGUAUUACCCGGAUUGUAGUGUUUGUAAUUAUGUGUUGUUUUCGCUUUGUUGCGUUGAUCAGUUAGGUGAGGCAGUUCAUGUUUUGAAGUGUAUGAGUGGAGCUGGUUGUGUUCCUGAUUUGGAAAGUUAUGGGAAUGUUAUUGGUUCGUUGUGUAAAGCUGGUAAAACUGGUCACGCAGUUGAGUUGAUGAAGGAAAUGGUGGUGAAAUCUGGAUUGAUUCCUAGGCAGGGGACUUUGGUGAAGUUAAUAGCUGCAUUACGAGGUAAUAGAGAGAUACGGGUAGCCGUUGAGAUGAUUGAGUUCUUGGAGAAGGAGGGGUGUGUAGUGGGAUUUGAGUGUUAUGAGGUUUUGGUUGAAGGGUGUUUAGAGAGUAAAGAUUAUGUUUUGGCGGCGAAAAUGGUAAUGAGGAUGACUGAUAAAAGGUUUAUACCUUAUAUUAAGGUUAGACAAAAGGUGGUUGAUCGGCUUAUUGAUGCUGGUGCUUGGAAGAUUGCUUGUGCUGUGAGGCAAAGAUUUGCGGAAUUGAAUUCGUAGAUUGUUCCAUUUUUUGAAUGUAAGUGCAAUUUUAUGUAUGCUGAAUUUAUAUUUAGUUAGUUUCUCCGUGGUUUUCCGUGGGCUUAUGAUGGCUAAUCUAUGGUAGUAUUGUUUUCCAUGCUGUGUCGUAGGGAUGUUGGAGCUGGUAAAUGUAUAGGUUUGUGUUUUCUAGAGUUACUAUGUACACCUUGUUUCUAUAUGUCAUAAUGGUUAGAUAGUCAUGUUCAUUUAUGCAAAUCAUAUUCUUACAAUCAUUUAGUUUUCUAGUUGGUCAAUGACUCAAUGCUGGACGUACAUAAGUUGGAUUUUGAUUACAGGACAGCAAAACCCUACUUGAGCAAAAAUUCUGCUAAUUAUUUUAUCUUACCAAUGUUUAAUCUGUAAAAAUCAUCAUGCGUGGAUUUAGCAGUCAUAGCUAUUGUGAGUUAUCGAUGUUGUGAUGCACAUUCAGACCAUAAUUACCUUUACUUGGUAGUCUUUCGAUAAUAAUGAACGAAAUUUAUUAGCGCCUAUGGUUGCUUUAGAUGCUUAUUGUUGCUAUGCCAGAAUUUCUUGUAUGGUCUUUGCUGUCAAUCAGAUCAAUGAUAGAGGAAAAUAAAUUAUAAAAACAAGUUUUAUGUACCAUUUUGUAGUUGUAUUUCUGCAAUACAAGGAAUUUCUAUCACCCAUUUUCUUAUGCUUUGGGCAUGAUUUUUACUAUCAUCCUUCAUUGUAUUUCAUUUAUUCUUAAAUACAAGACUCCAAAAGUAUCUUUUGCAUGAACUUAUAUGUAAUACCAUCUAUUAAGCAUCCUUUUAGUCAUCCUCCAAUCAUCCUACAACUAGGACUGCCUAGUAUAUCCUUAAAGCUUGCUUAAUCCUUGAUAGGGUAGCUAGCAUCCGCGGCAAUGCCACACAUACCUUUUUUGUCGGUGGAACCACGCUUCAUCCUUACAUAGCCAGACUCGCCCCAUUUUGUGCCCCAUGAGUUUUUCACUAGCCAAUACUUAUGACCAUCACUGGCUCCAUAGCCAACUGCUGUAACUCCAUGAUUGAGUUCGACUCCACAAAAGCCGCUUAAGAUACCUGAUGAAUAGAGUUGAAACGGAUAACCACUGGCAUCAAUUGCAACAGAUACAGGCUGUUUGGAAACUGCCGCUUGUAGGCUAGUCUCACUAUUGAUGGGUACUGUUUCGUAGCCACUAACUGUUGCUGCAUGGUUAGCAGUCUUUGAUUUUUCACAAGUGCCAUCUGUUCCCUUAUAAGGAUAGUCAUUUUCAGUGGUCAGUCCCCCAUUGCUUUUAAUAAAUGUAAAUGCUUUUUCCAUGAAUCCACCACUGCAUCCCUUGUUAGAACCCGCUACAUCGCAGUCUAUAAGCUCUUGUUCUGAUAGAGAUACUAAAGUUCCCGUCUUAAUUUUGUUAAUGCCUUCCACAGCUGCUACUGCAGAAAAAGCCCAGCAACUCCCUGUACAUGGGCUGCAAGUUAGAUCUUUUCAUAUUACAGAAGCUCACUAGUAUUAACCAGACAAUCAAUCGGCAAUAGAAGAGAUUGUGGUUUGUUGCUUAACCUAUUACUAUUGUGGGGCAUGAAUGCAUGAUUGAAAAAUUAGUGUCAAAGUUAGACUUACGAUGUUCUAGACUCCUAGUGGUUACUUGAGAACUUGUUAAAAUGAAAUCUACGGUAUGGAAGAAUAAAGAAUCUUGGUGACCCACAUUAGGAAUCUUUUUUUUUUUUGGUUUAUUUGUAUGCGUUCUUCCAUAUGAACAUAACAUUCACCCUAAAACAUAUAGGCAAUUGUUAUCAGUUCAUUGUAUCUUUAAGAGUCUUAACUAGUAACUAGUUUCGGAUAUAACUAAAAAUGCUUAUAGUGGCGGUCUCCUAAUAUAAUGUAUACCUUAUACCUCGAGAAUAUGCACCUAGACUCUAUACUUUCAGCUAAAUGGGAACUGCAAAGAAAGGAAAGGAAAAAAUAUCAUACCACAUUGGCCUUGAUCCUUAAUUGGGGUCACAGCACCUUCCUGUCUCCAGUCUUUGGUGUCUGGCACCUCCGUGUGAUUUUCAUAUCUGUAGCUAGGGUUAGUUCUUUUAUAUUUUCUCGGCUGAAAACCGAGGUAGAUAGAUUUGAACUCAUCAUUAGUCAAGUCUGCAAAUUUGUUGUCGGUGAGCUUGAAUGACAAGUUCUGAGAAUUGAUGUAUUGGAUGAACUGAACAUUGGAAUGGUAAAUUCCAAACCGCAAUAAAUAUUCAUCUCUAGUGUCGUAUUUUCGACCAUUAUGUUCCAGCCAUUUGUCGUACCUCGAUUUCAUGGCCAUGUCUUCAAUUAUGGACAGACUAUUGAUUUCUGACCUUGCUAUUGAAGGUAUCCAUAAAGUGCAAAGAAUUGCAAGAAUCAAACCAGAAAGCUUCAUCCCAAUAUGCGCUCUCAUGGCUAGCAUAAAGCAUACACUGAGAAUUUGAGCCUUAUAAAUAGAGAUUUAGCACGAGUUGGCUAUACGUAAUGCAAUAUGUCCUUUAUGCUAGAUCAUACUUUUACUCAAGGUUUAGCUGCAGAAUGGAGACUAAAGAUGGCCAACCCAGAAACCAGGGACUUAGGUAAUGGUCAAUUCUUUAAUGGCUAUGCUCUUCUUAGCCACAAAAAUUCUGCCUCAAAUUGUAUGCAUCUGAACUUAAUGAAACUGAGUUUUAUACGUUUCAGACACACAUGAAUUCAUAACAGGUAAUAUAGUUGUGAUUGCCAGCUUAUCAGAACAACACUCAUGCAGAAGGUGUGAACUUACAAAACCAGAAAUGAGGAAACCUUUAGAUGUUGGAUCACUAGACCUAGGGGUGUAACUGAGUCGAGAUAACUCACGAAUUGUUCGGAAUUGACUCGAAAUUACACGAAAUCAACUCUUUGUUAAUCGAGUCGAGCACGAGUUCGAUUUUCGAGCUACUCGAGUCAAUUGCCGAGUCGAGUUCGAGUAUUAAGAUACUCGGCUUAACAGGCUCGCGAGCCUAAUCGACUCUUGAUUAAUUCACUCUUUUAUCUUUCAUAAUUGUAUAUAAUUACAAUAAUAUCCUUAUUCUUAUAUUAGAAUUAAUUUUUUUUUUUGAA